GAACGCUGGCGGCGUGCUACUACAUGCUACAUCGUCGAACGCUUUUCUUUCACCGCAGACUUGUCUCACCGAAAGAAAAGAGUGGCGAACGGGUGAGUAACACGUGGGUAACCUACCCUCGAGCGGGGGAUAACAUUUGGAAACAGGUGCUAAUACCGCAUAAUAACAGAAGAAGCAUUUCUUUUGUUUGAAAGUCGCAAUUGCGACACUCGAGGAUGGACCCGCGGUGCAUUAGCUAGUUGGUGGGGUAACGGCUCACCAAGGCCACGAUGCAUAGCCGACCUGAGAGGGUGAUCGGCACACUGGGACUGAGACACGGCCCAGACUCCUACGGGAGGCAGCAGUAGGGAAUCUUCGGCAAUGGACGAAAGUCUGACCGAGCAACGCCGCGUGAGUGAAGAAGGUUUUCGGAUCGUAAAACUCUGUUGUUAGAGAAGAACAAGGGUGAGAGUGGAAAGUUCACCCCUUGACGGUAUCUAACCAGAAAGCCACGGCUAACUACGUGCCAGCAGCCGCGGUAAUACGUAGGUGGCAAGCGUUUGUCCGGAUUUAUUGGGCG
rnacentral:rRNA from 1 species